rnacentral:rRNA from 1 species
UACGUAGGGGGCAAGCGUUGUCCGGAUUCAUUGGGCGUAAAGAGCUCGUAGGCGGUUCAGCAAGUCGGGUGUGAAACCUCCAGGCUCAACCUGGAGACGCCACCCGAUACUGCUGUGACUUGAGUCCGGUAGGGGACCACGGAAUUCCUGGUGUAGCGGUGAAAUGCGCAGAUAUCAGGAGGAACACCGGUGGCGAAGGCGGUGGUCUGGGCCGGAACUGACGCUGAGGAGCGAAAGCGUGGGGAGCGAACAGG